rnacentral:pre_miRNA from 1 species
UAAGUACUCCCUCCGUCCGGAAAUACUUGUCAUUAAAAUGAAUAAAAGGGGAUGUAUCUAGAUGUAUUUUAGUUCUAGAUACAUCCCUUUUUGUCCAUUUUGAUGACAAGUUUUUUCGGACGGAGGGAGUAAGAU